rnacentral:lncRNA from 1 species
CCAGAGAGAAAAGAUGAGGCGGCACCAGGGUAGUGAGUGAUGUGAAUUCCUGUCAGAGCAGAAAUUGUGCUAGGGGAGGUCUCUAGACAGAAAAAAAAAAAAAAUCUUUGGGUUGGGGAUGGGUGAAGAGUACAAAGAAAAAGAAAAGAAGGGAUGAGUUUUAAAAAAUGCAGGAAGAAGGCAGUAAGCAAUUAGAGAAGACUCAGUGUGUGCACAGUUGUCAGUCCCUGCUGGAAAUGCCCGCCAGUGGCCAGAAGUGGGUCAUGAGUGUAAUGAGCCAGUCAGCCUGACAUCUGCACUCUUUAGUCCAGCCUCAGGUUUCCACCUGGAUCUAGCAACUUGCGAGCUUCAGAGCAGAGAGCCAUCAUUUUUGUGAAGACUUCAAGAAAACUGGGCAAGAAUGAUGCAAAGUUCAUCCAAACCAUGGCUACUGCUUGUGAAACUUCCCAGAGCACCUUUGAUCCUGGCAGUGGAUUAGUAUGUAAUGGGAAGACAGCCUGGAUUCUGAAAAGCCCAGAUUCUGCAAUUGAAGAGAAUCAUACAUACCUGACUGGCAUGGGGCUAGAGAUUUUUCCACCAAAACCCACUGUGAUCAUGUUUAUUUCAUUUCAUCCAGUAGACUGGACUCUCUUCAUAUGCACUUUUUUCAUCUCCAGCUUCAGGCAGAUUAACUCAGCAAACUUGGAAGCCAGAUGAUGAAAACUGAAAAACUGUAAGAUGGAAGGGAUAUGGAACUCCAGUUCACUGCUUGAAGAAGGGCAGUCAGAGUUAACAGUUUUAGACUUUAUAAGGAGAAAUAAAUUUAUGUCAUGUGAACAAUUAUAUAUUUUAGAGUUUGUUUUUCAAAACAGCUUUACUAUAACUGCUAAAUGGAAAAAUGCAUGCAUUUCUCAAUUACCAGAUUACAACUCAAACUGUAUUUUGUUUCCAGUACUAGAGACACAAGACAUGAGUUAAUCAAAUUUUUUUGUGUGUAGCAGCCUGGGUAAUUCAUGUUUUUAAGUCCCUUUAAUAUCUUAUUGGUUGUGCAUUCUAGGUUUUAAACAACUUGUUUAGAAUGAACUUUUAGAACCACACCCAUUUCUAAGUUGGGAACUGCUUACAUAGCAAAGGAUUUAUUGCUGAAUGAUCAAUUUGAUAUGCUUGUCAUAACUGCUAAACUAUACAGACAUGGGCCAUUUAUUCCAGACAACAUAAUGUCUGAAUUGGAUUGAAGAAACUGGAUCAAUAGACCUUAACCAUCGACCUGAAAAUGGUCACUCCAUACAAUCGUGGAAAAUCAAGUAGUCCAGUUGUCUGAAAAAAUAACAAUUGGCAGACAAAUUACUUUAUCAGUCAUCUUUGGUUUUAGUGGGAAAUUGUAUGGUUUUAAUUUCAAAAAGGAUAUGGUUCAUUAACCUUAUAGUGACUGAUAUUAAAAAAUUGAAAUGUAUGUUAUAUCACAAAGCUGAUGGAAUGGAGUUCAACUAGAUGCGUUUUUUUUUAACAAAAAAAAAUAAUAAAUUUGUUUUAAGAAGU